UUCUUCAACCACCAGCAGCCAAAGGUUUUCUUCUUCCUUGGAAACAAAGUUGAGCCAGAAAUGGAGAAUUUGAUGGGAUUGUUGAGAAUUCAUGUGAAUAGAGGGGUGAAUCUUGCUGUCAAAGAUGUUGUAAGCAGCGAUCCUCACGUUGUUAUCAAGAUGGGAAAACAGAGAUACGUUCGUAGAUGAUAAGAUGGGGGAUGCGGAGUUCGAGAUCAUGUCAUUUUUAAUUGCAGUAAAGAUGCGUCUACAGGAUCUGAAUGACGGAACUAUAAUCAGCAAGGUUCAGCCAAGCAGGCAGAACUGUCUGUCACAAGAGAGUUGCAUCGUUUGGAGCAAGGGGAAAAUUGUUCAAGACAUGUUCUUGAGGCUGAGAAACGUGGAGACUGGUGAAGUUGAGCUUCGGUUGGAACGGAUUGACGUUCCUGGUUCUAGAGGGAUUUAAUUACCUACUUGGAAUUUA